rnacentral:rRNA from 1 species
UACGAAGGGGGCUAGCGUUGUUCGGAAUUACUGGGCGUAAAGCGCACGUAGGCGGACAUUUAAGUCAGGGGUGAAAUCCCGGGGCUCAACCCCGGAACGGCCUUUGAUACUGGGUGUCUUGAGUUCGGAAGAGGUGAGUGGAAUUGCGAGUGUAGAGGUGAAAUUCGUAGAUAUUCGCAGGAACACCAGUGGCGAAGGCGGCUCACUGGUCCGAUACUGACGCUGAGGUGCGAAAGCGUGGGGAGCAAACAGGG